ACGAACGCUGGCGGCGUGCUUAACACAUGCAAGUCGAACGGAAAGGCCCUGCUUUUGUGGGGAGCUCGAGUGGCGAACGGGUGGGUAACACGUGAGUAACCUGCCCUUGACUUUGGGAUAACUUCAGGAAACUGGGGCUAAUACCGGAUAGGAGCUCCCGCUGCAUGGUGGGGGUUGGAAAGUUUCGGCGGUUGGGGAUGGACUCGCGGCUUAUCAGCUUGUUGGUGGGGUAGUGGCUUACCAAGGCUUUGACGGGUAGCCGGCCUGAGAGGGUGACCGGCCACAUUGGGACUGAGAUACGGCCCAGACUCCUACGGGAGGCAGCAGUGGGGAAUAUUGCACAAUGGGCGGAAGCCUGAUGCAGCAACGCCGCGUGCGGGAUGACGGCCUUCGGGUUGUAAACCGCUUUCGCCUGUGACGAAGCGUGAGUGACGGUAAUGGGUAAAGAAGCACCGGCUAACUACGUG
rnacentral:rRNA from 1 species